rnacentral:lncRNA from 12 species
UUCUAUUCCAGUGAUUUCGAAGUGUGUGUCCACAUGAGCAUUUGAGUUUUGAGAUGGAGACAAAUGAUCUGGAAGCUUCCUUUUUAUGGUUUCAUGAUGAGGCGAGGUCGUUUAACAAGAAAGAAAUGGUUCGCUUGACAUACCAGUUCAGACUUGGUGAGUUUUUGGUGAGCAUUAACUGAUGAGAAAACUAAAUCUUUAUGAAAAGCCAUGUGGACAGCACCAGUAUGAG